GACAUAGGGGGCGAGCGUUGUCCGGAAUUACUGGGCGUAAAGCGCGUGCAGGCGGCUUUGUAAGUCCCGUGUGAAAGCCUACGGCUCAACUGUAGGAGGCCGCGGGAUACUGCGAGGCUCGAGGGCAGGAGAGGGAAGUAGAAUUCCCGGUGUAGCGGUGAAAUGCGUAGAUAUUGGGAGGAACACCAGUGGCGAAGGCGGCUCACUGGACCGGUUCUGACGCUGAUGCGCGAAAGCGUGGGGAGCAAACGGG
rnacentral:rRNA from 1 species